GCUGAAAUGAGGCGGACUGGAGGCUGGUGAAGAGCCCUCACGCAGAGAGAGGGGAGGAGAGUAUCGGAAGGUCGGGGUGGGCAAGAUUCCAGCCAUAAGACCUCAGAGAGGAAACUAAGGACUCUGUGAGGGAGGAUGGCCAACUGAUGCGAGAAGAGCAGAGUCUUUCAUCAUUCUUUCAUCAGCAAUUUAGCUCUCGCCAGGGAUGCUUUUGGACGUCUUUAAACCGAGCGUCAUAGGCACGCUG